UGAUUCGGGUUCAAGGCACCAAGAAGAUUUUCCCAUAUCAAAAAUUGAUUUUCUGUGUUUCUCUCUCUCUCUCUCUCUCUCGAUUGCUCUCUCUCUCAUGAUCUCCUAGCGCUCUCUCUCUCGAUUGCUCUUAAUCUCGCAUCCUCUCUCUGUGUUCUCUCAAUCGAUCAUUCCUUCAAUUAAUCAAUCAAUCCAUCGAAUGGUGGAGGAGAGUUUCAAAUACGUGAUUCUAAUCGGUGACAUCUCCACUAUGAGUAUCUUUCAAUUAAUCUAUUGAUUUUCUACUUCACACUGUUUUUGCUUUGUUAACCUCGAUUCAGUUCGUUCUCUCUCUCUCUCUCUCUCUCUCUCUCUCCAUCGGCAUCUGUGAACCUGUGAACGAAGAUCAAUCGAAAACGACGCCAUCAAUCACCUCCUUCUCGUCCAUUCCGAUCUCUCAUCUCUCAUUCACCAGGUAACUAAUUCGUACUUCUAGAGAGAGAAAUGAGAUAGCAAAUUCAUAUUUGAUCAAACAUUGGUUUGGAGGAAAUCGAACCCCUUAGAUUUGUCUGAAAUUGUUGUGUUUUGUUGCUUUGUUUCUGCAUUGAUUCACUGACAAGAUCUAGGAUUGUAUUUUUUAUUUUUUUAUUUUUUUAUUUCAUUGAUUCAUUGAUAAUAUAGCAAUUAUUUUUUAUUUUUUAUUAUUUUUUUAAUUUCUCUGCAUUCUCCAUUCCAUUUCUAGGUCUGUCUAUCUUGAUUUUGCUUGGUUGCUUCUUAUUUGUUAUUGUAGUGUAGUGUGAAUUUUUGUGUGUAUGCUCAUCUUUUGUUAUAUGAUUUCAAUUUGUGUUACUGUUAGCUACAUAUUACUUUGAAUCAAUUUUUCCAAACUUUCGUUGAGAACUCAUGCCUGCAGAAAUCAGCAAGGCCAAGCAAAAUUCAGAGAAUGUAUGCAGAGCCUUGAUUUAGGGCCAUCCUUUGAAUUAACGACUUCUUAGUUUGUCCUCUAUUGGCUACUACCACCUUUAGAAUGAAUGCUCAUGUUAGCAUCCUAACAGUGAAUUGGAAUGAGCAUUCAUUCUAUUUAACUUUCUAUUUCAUUUUCACUCUCAUUGCAUUUCAUCAUACCAAACAUAAAUGUGAGAAUAAACAAAAAAUAAACAAAAAUCUAAAUAUGCCAAAAUGACAUUUGCACCAAUAGAGCAACAUGGUCAUAAUGAAGCAUAUUUUUCACUUCCUGCCAUAAAUGUCAUCCUAACCAAAUGGAGGGUUUCACCGUUCUUUGACUAUAAACUUAUAUAUCUGUGUGUGUUUAAUUAUGCCUAAAUACCUUUUGGGAGACGCUAUUUCCUGUUUUGACUUUUGCCAAUUCUAACAGCAUGACUUUCACGAGAUUUUGUUACUAUUACCAGACAUGCAAAGUUAGUCGUUUAUGUUGACAUUUCUUUUUUUUGCUUUCUGUUAUGGAAAUAUAUUGUGCUUUCUUUUGUGUUUAAAGAUAUUACUUACAAUUAUCUUCAUUUGGACCGGUACCUCUCCUGCAAAGUCAUCAUCAGUAUUAUUUGUUACUCUUUCUCAAGCCUGGUGGAUGGCAAUAUCCAAUUUGGGCCAGUAGAAGGUACUUUUGCUGCAAAUGUCAAUUUGAAACUGGGAUUAAUAUGAUUCUAGCUCAGAAAGGAACCUCACCUCCAAGGUCGUCGCUCAUAAAUUUUCAUAAUCCUUGUGGAAUGAUUCAACAUUUCCAAUUGACAAGGCUGUGUUGGCUUGGCUUUCAAUAAUUGCAUAUCGAAACAAGGACAAAAAACCUGGGGAGAAAUUGGUGUCCGUCUCUAAUGUUGUAAAGGAGCACUGGGCCUCUUAUGGAAGAAACUUCUUUUCCAGAUAUGAUUAUGAAGAAUGUGAAUCUGAAGGAGCAAACAAAAUGAUAGAUUAUCUUAGAGAUUUGGUUUCUAAGAGCAAGUCAGGUGAUAAGUAUGGAAGUUAUGUCCUUCAAUUUGCAGGGAACUGGUUCAACUGGUGCUACUUUUAGAAUGCAUACAUUGAACAGUUUGAGCCCGAUGUCUCUAAACAUGACAUGGACGCCCAAACUGCACUAAAACCUUUAAUAGAUCCAGCGCUGUCUGUAUCAAAGCUGAAGGACUUCACUGGAAGGGAGAAGCCUACAGUUAUCACAUAAAUCUGAGUGUCUGAUGUUAAUCUCACACAAUGAAGCUUCAUUAGUAAUCAUGUAAAAGUAGUUCAUCAAUUUCAUGUGUGUAUUCAACGUUUUGUAUAAUCCAGUUUCGAUUAUGCGACUUUGUAGGGCCUCACAAGGUAUGUCAUUUACUUUCUCUCCCAAUCGAUCAAUUUCUCUGUCACUCGAUCAUUUUUUCCCAAAAACUUCGAAUUCAUCAUUUGAUUUAAAGUCUAUUCUCGAAGACGACAUAUGCUAGUUUAACUAGUCAUAGGAUUUGCUUUCACUUUGAAUCAGAGCAGAGGUUUUGCUAGUUACAGUUGCUAUCAUGACUUAAUGGUCAUGCAUGAUUUUCAGUGGAUUGUGUGGUUCAAUGAUAGAAGUGAUGAGCAUAGUAUUUCAGGUUUUUUCACAACUAAAUUAAUAGUUGAGUUGUUUCAAUUAUGCCUCAUCCAAAUAGCUGCAAUAUCAUAUUCUAACUUUUGGCUACCCAAAAUUGGGUCUAACCAACCAUCCAACUAAUGGAGGAUAUACCUAAUGGCAUAUCCUAUGACUAGUUAGAAGGAGAAAAAUAAAAUUUGGCACAUCCACACACCAUCUAGUGGUCAGAAAUGGUUGGCCCUAUAGCUUAUCCCAUUAUUUACCUCAUCCUAACUUAAACAUUGAAUAAUAUAUAUUCCUAUCAGAGAAAUUUAAUCUUGGAAUUAUCAUAUAUUAUUUUAAGGAUUAGUUAUCCCUCUAUUCUUAUUCAGAUUAAAUAAACACUCUAAAGAUGAUAAAUAUAACAAAGAAAAUGCUAAUAGCAGCCCUUUGGCUUGUAAAUAACAAUAAAAAAUUUAUAAAUAAUGUGUAAAAAUUAUAUUGAAAAUUUAACUUUGUUGGCCUUCUCUUCUUCUAAAAGCAUGACCCUAUAGGCGUGGACAUUGAUUUUUCUGUGCAAAUUUUCCCAUGCUUUUAGCAUUAUUGAGAGAAUAAACUAUGGCACUUCUUUAUCAGUCCCAGCUUUGAAAAUGAUUUCAGGUCAGAAUGGUUACAAAGAUAAUUAAGAUUACAAGGAAAUGAUACUAACUGAUUAUCUGUCACCAUUUCAUGAACAACUAUUCUUUCUUUUUAACUCUAAUGAUAUGUCAUACAUCUUUGCACCCAAAUCUUUUCCUUCUAGUUUUGAAAACUCUCUAUUUUUUCCA